rnacentral:lncRNA from 1 species
UUUCUUUCAUGAAUUAAGUGCCCUCACACAAUCAACGAGAGUAGUCCCACACAGUACAAUCUAAGAAUAAUUAGGAACUCAAGAUAGAAAAAUUCACUCACUUUGAGAAAUAACAUUCAUUUGCCACAAAAUAUGCAUCAUAAGCUUUCCCGUAAUGUACUACUCUACUAAUCAAGCUCAUUCAGUCUAGGAUUAAGUAGGACUUUCUUUGGCUGUAAUGUAGGUUGAGGGACGGGUAGGAUACAUUUAUAAG